GACGAACGCUGGCGGCGUGCUUAACACAUGCAAGUCGAACGGAAAGGCCCUGCUUUUGUGGGGUGCUCGAGUGGCGAACGGGUGAGUAACACGUGAGUAACCUGCCCUUGACUUUGGGAUAACUUCAGGAAACUGGGGCUAAUACCGGAUAGGAGCUCCUGCUGCAUGGUGGGGGUUGGAAAGUUUCGGCGGUUGGGGAUGGACUCGCGGCUUAUCAGCUUGUUGGUGGGGUAGUGGCUUACCAAGGCUUUGACGGGUAGCCGGCCUGAGAGGGUGACCGGCCACAUUGGGACUGCGAUACGGCCCAGACUCCUACGGGAGGCAGCAGUGGGGAAUCUUGCACAAUGGGCGGAAGCCUGAUGCAGCCACGCCGCGUGCGGGAUGACGGCCUUCGGGUUGUAAACCGCUUUCGCCUGUGACGAAGCGUGAGUGACGGUAAUGGGUAAAGAAGCACCGGCUAACUACGUG
rnacentral:rRNA from 1 species